CCUACGGGAGGCAGCAGUGGGGAAUCUUGCGCAAUGGGCGGAAGCCUGACGCAGCAACGCCGCGUGCGGGAAGAAGGCCUUAGGGUCGUAAACCGCUUUCAGGGGGGACGAAGCUUCCGGGGUUAAUAGCCUACGGGGUGACGGUACUCCCAAAAGAAGGUCCGGCUAACUACGUGCCAGCAGCCGCGGUAAUACGUAGGGACCGAGCGUUGUCCGGAAUCAUUGGGCGUAAAGAGCGUGUAGGCGGCCUAGUAGGUCUCGUGUGAAAUCCCGUGGCUCAACCACGGACACGCACGGGAAACCCCUAGGCUCGAGUCCGGAAGAGGAGAGCGGAAUUCCUGGUGUAGCGGUGAAAUGCGCAGAUAUCAGGAAGAACACCCGUAGCGAAGGCGGCUCUCUGGGACGGUACUGACGCUGAGACGCGAAAGCGUGGGGAGCAAACAGGAUUAGAUACCCUGGUAGUCCACGCCGUAAACGAUGGAUGCUAGGUGUGGGAGGUGUCGACUCCUCCCGUGCCGAAGCUAACGCAUUAAGCAUCCCGCCUGGGGAGUACGGCCGCAAGGCUAAAACUCAAAGGAAUUGACGG
rnacentral:rRNA from 1 species